GACUGCUAAAAAAAAAGGAGAGAAAGAGAGGUGAGCAAAGAAGGCCCUGUAUAAGCACUCGGAGAAAUGUACAUCCUUGUCUUACAUACAUAUGGAUGAUGAUAUCAUCCAUAUCAUCAGCAUCCUUCACUGCUGAUAUGUGAAUACUCAGUGAGUAGACUGGUGAAGGGCUCCUAUUAUGAAGUAUCAAAAAGUAAGACUAGAAUGGAAUGAGCACCUUGGGAUGAAAAAAUAAGAUUAAACCAAAGAAAAUAUUAACAGUCUCAGUCUAGGUAUUUUAGAUGUUAAAUAAGAAAUAAAAGCAAGUGCUUUAUGAAUUUCAAAACAGGUCAGAUUCCAAAGGCUGAAAGUAAUCAGGGCUGGCUUAGUGGAAGGGAUAAAUUGGAGAUGAACAUUCAAGAGUUAUAGGAUUUGAGAGAAGAGGAUAAUUUAGAUAAGGUAAGGAAAUCCUAGGACCUGGAAAGUCAGGCUGAAAAGGCAUGAUGGCUCAAGAUGAUGCAGGGUACGGAAAUCCAAAGUUAAACAAACCAAGUAGCUUUGAGGAGAGUGAAGAAAGAAGACUAACUAGAAGCUUGAGUAGAGGGUACCUGGGAAAUAGGCUGAAAAGGCAUGAUGGCUCAAUGGUGCAGAGUCCCAGGAAGGCUGACUGUACUCUGACAGAGACCACUGCAGGUGCUUAAGCAGAAUAACCUGGUUAACGUUUUAGACUCAUAUGGCAAUGACAUACAGGAUGGACUGAGCCAAGAGAAUAAAAGGGAAGGCCAAGAGCUAUUUUUCUAAUAAGAAUAAUAUGGAAUUUUAUAGACUAAAGAAUACGAUACAAUAUUUAUAUACAGUGAGCUAUUAUUGCAUAGACACUACGCUAGCUUUUCUCAUUUGAUUCUCCCAGAACCAUAUGAAGGAAGUCAAAUUAAUCAUCUCCAUUUUUAAAAUGAGAAAACAGAAUCUACAUAACCUGCCCAGGUCACAAAUCCAGGGAGUGGAGGAGUCAGAAUUUGAGCCCAGAUAACAUGACCCCACAGCUUAUAGUCUUAGCUUCUAUGCCAUAUCCCUCAGUAUUAUUAAAUGUCUCUGAAAGAAUCCAAGAACAAAAUAAUUAGGGCUGAACUAGUGAUUAGUAGUGAAAAGAAAAUGUAAAGAAGAGAUGAGACUUUACAAGGAAACAAAAUGACAGAACUUAGUAUUUAAGAGAUAGAUGGGGAUGAGAAAGAGUGAAAAAUGAUCAUCCCUUCAUGGGUGAAAACACAAGGAAAUAAUAAUACCAUUCACCCUUGGAAAUCACACAGGUGAAUUCAGACGGGAAAGAUGAGUAGUAUUUCAGAUAUGUUGCAUUUGGAAAGAUGAAAAGAUAUCCAUGUAGAAAUUAGAGUAUGCAGAUAAGAUACAUUUUAAAAACUCAGGAGAGAGGUAGGAUUGACAUUAUAGGUUUUUGAAAUUAUCUCACAUAAAAUGAAUAGAGGAAGCAACAAAAUUAUUUAAGCUCUUUAAGGGGGUGGGGUGGAAGAACCACUCUCUGGGGACCAGCAACGUUGAAAGGCAGGAGAGCGGCAAGAGCAGAAACAGGAUAGGGCAGUCUCCCAGAGUUCAACAGAUGAGACUUUCAAGAAGAGAGCAGCUGCCUUCUAAUUCACUCUCUCUUCUCUCCUGGAAGAUCUCAUUCUCACUUAUUCCUUACACUAUUAUCCACACACAUGCAAGUAAGAAGUAAGAGAGGGCUACAGUUGAAGGAGUUUGAAUAUGUCAACAAAGGGCUGAGGUAAGCAAAGAUAUCACAAAGGAGUGAUUGACUUAAGCAUGAGUAUGUAACUAGUUGAAAGCAAUAUUUGAAUGUACAAAGACACAGAUGGGUUAAUUAAACCAGUUAGGCAGAAUCAGGGAAAGCAUCUGGAAAAGGGCUGUGUUACCACCAAAAGGCCUCACCCUCAAGAAUUCCCAAAGCCCUAGAACGUUUUUUCCAGCUAUCUCGCUGUUCGGUAACCUGGAGAGUUAACCGAGCCUCAGAAGUCCGCCCCUCCCCUUCGGGUCACCUGCUGGCGACGCC